rnacentral:lncRNA from 1 species
GCAAUGGGGGAAGGAAUACCUAUUUAUUUAUUUAUUUAUUUAUUUUGAGACAAAGUCUCACUCUGUCACCAGGCUGGAGUGCAGCGGCAUGAUCUCAGCUCACUGCAACCUCUGCCUCCCGGAUUCAAGUGAUUCUCCUGCCUCAGCCUCCUGAGUAGCUGGGACUACAGGUUCGAGCCACCACGCCCAGCUAGUUUUUGUAUUUUUAGAAGAGACGGGGUUUCACCAUGUUGGCCAGGAUGGUCUUGAUCUCUUGACCUCAAGAUCCACCUGCAUCAGCCUCCCAAAGUGCUGAGAUUAUAGACAUGAGCCACUGCACUUGGCCAGGAUUCCCUAUUUAAAUGGUGCUGGGAAAACUGACUAGCCAUAUGCAGAAAACUGAAACUGGACCUCAUCCUUACAUCUUAUGCAAAAAUUAACUCAAGAUGGAUUAAAAACUUAAAUGUGAAACCCCGAACUGUAAAAAACCCUAGAAGAAAAUCUAGGAAGUUCCAUUCAGGACAUAGGCAUGAGCAAAGAUUUUACGAUGAAAUCAUCAAUAGCAAUUGCAACAAAAGCAAAAAUUGAUAAAUGGGAUCUAAUUAAACGUAAGCACUUCUGCACAGGGAAAGAAACUAUCAUCAGAGUGAACAAGCAACCUACAGAAUGGGAGAAUAUUUUUGCAAUCUACCAAUCUGACAAAGGUCUAAUAUCCAGAAUCUACAAGGAACUUAAACAAAUUUACAAGAAAAUAACAACCCCAUCAAAACAUGGGCAAAGGUCACGAACAGACAUUCUGAAAAGAAGACAUUUAUGCGUCCGACAAACAUAUGAAAAAAAAAGCUCAACACUAGUGUUUAUUAGAGAAAUGCAAAUCAAAACCACAAUGAGAUACCAUCUCAUGCCAGUCAGAAUGGCAAUUAUUAAAAAGUCAAGAAACAACAGAUGCUAGAGAGGCUGUGGAGAAACAGGAACACUUUUACACUGUUGGUGGGAAUGUAAACUAGUUCAACCAUUGUGGAAGACAGUGUGGCAAUUCCUGGAGGAUCUAGAAGCAGAAAUACCAUUUGACCCAGCAAUCCCAUUACUAGGUUUAUAUCCAAAGAAAUAUAAAUCAUUCUGUUUUAAAGAUACAUGCACACUUAUGUUUAUUGCAGCACUAUUCACAAUAGCAAAGACAUGGAAUCAGCCCAAAUGUCCAUCAAUGAUAGACUGGAUAAAGAAAAUGUGAUACAUAUACACCAUGGAAUACUAUGCAGCCAUAAAAAGGAAUGAGAUCAUGUCUUUUGCAGGGACAUGGAUGAAGCUGGAAGCCAUAAACUUCAGCUAAUUAACACAGGAACAGGAAACCAAACACCACAUGUUCUCAUAAGUGGGAACCGAACAAUGAGAACACAUGGACACAGGGAGGGGCAGAACACACACCGGAGCCUGUUGGGAAGGUAGGGGGAAGGAGAGCAUCACGAUAAAUAGCUAAUGCACGUGGGGCUUAAUACCUAGGUGAUAGGUUGAUAGGUGCAGCAAACCACCAUGGCACAUGUUUAACUAUGUAACAAACCUGCACAUCCUGUACAUGUAUCCUGGAACUUAAAAUAAAAUAGAAAAGACAAAGAAGGAUAUUACAUAAUGGCAAAGGCUUCAAUUCAACGAGAAGACCUAACUAUCCUAAAUAUAUAUUCAUCCAAUGCAGGAGCACCCAGAUUCAUAAGUAAAGUUCUUAGAGACCUACAAAGUAUGUUUCACAGUAAUAGUGGGAGAUUUCCACACUCCAAUGACAGUAUUAGACAGAUGAUUGAGGCAAAAAAAUGAACAAAGAUAUUCAGGACCUGAACUCAACAUUGGAUCAAAUGGAUCUGAUAGACCUUUACAGAACUCUGCACUCAAAAACAACAGAAUAUGCAUUCCUCACAUCAUCAUAUGCCACAUACUCUAAAAUCAACCACAUAAUUGGACAUAAAGCAAUCCUCAGCAAAUGCAAAACAACUGAAAUCAUACCAAAUACAUACUGAGAUCACAGUGCAGUAAAAAUAGAAGACUAAGAAAAUUGCUGAAAAUCAUGCAAUUACAUGGAAAUCAAUCAACAUGCUCCUGAAUGACUUUUUAAUAAAUAAUGAAAUUAAGGCAGAAAUCAAGAAGCUCUUUGAAAAUAAUGAGAACAAAGUUACAACAUACUAGAGCCUCUGGACACAGCUAAGACAAUGUUAGGAGGGAAAUUUAUAGCACUAAAUCCCACAUCAAAAAGUUAGGAAGAACUCAAAUUAAUAACCUAACAUCACAACUGAAAGAACUAGAGAAGCAAGACAAAACCCCAAAGCUAGAGGAAGACAAGAAAUAACUGAAAAUCUGAGCUGAACUGAAAGAAACCGAGACAUGAAAAAAAGAAAUUCAAAAGAUCUAUGAAUUCCGGUUUCUCCACAGACACUACCCAAAGCAGUGCUUCACUACAGUGGCAGACAGACCUGAAAAUUUUCAUCUGAAGCAGCAGAGUGAACUGCAGAGGCAGGUCACCAACCAGUGUGGAGGCUAAAAGCGGGCCUCUUUGGGGAUUCCAGGUGGAAGUGUUGGACAUCUGUAGUAUUCCUGGUCUCGAAUCAUCCUGAUAUUCUUCAUUUUGUUAUUCACAUUGGACUAGGCAGGAACAAAGAUCACCACAACUGGCUCCCCUUCAACUAUGUUAGAUGGCAACUUGCCUUCAGUAUGGUGAAACACAUCAGUUAAGACCGGGGUUGUGCAUGGCAGGACUUUCUACAAGGACACCCAGUCUCCUUAAUAAACAUGAGAUGCUCUCUUUCCAGAAUUUCUCUUGCCUGACACAGCAUAGGAAGAUGCUGAACGGCCACACAGUGAUCCAUUGAGAUAGAAUCUCACUAUGUUGACCAGGCUGGUCUUGAACUCUUGGCACCCAAGCGAUCCUUUUGCCUGGAAUCCCAAAGUGUCAGAUUUACUGAAGAAUAUUUCAUUGUAAUUACUUUUUAUACUUUAUAGGUCAAGAGCUC